rnacentral:snoRNA from 1 species
AAUCCCUUAACAACAGAGAAUCAUUUCUAUAGUAAAUCGUCCCACCUGAUUUUUUCGCACUAGCGACUGAAUCCCCAACCUUGCUGAUGACCACCAUGUCCCCAGCGCCCUAGAGUGAAGCCUUUUAUACUCCCGCCUCGAUUACUUCGGUCACCGAUUUUGUGUGUCUGCUUCAAUCCAGGGAGUGGUGAUGAUCUUGACCUUGCCUUGGCGUCUUGACUUCGGUCGGCCUGGUUUGGUGGGCGCUGUGGAGGUCUGAAAGGU